CUUCAGACUUGUAUUUCGUAUGACAGGAUUGGACGUUGUACGUGAAAGAGCUCUUCACUUGGUUUUUACACGUAUCCCUUGGCGGGUGUGUUGUGUCAUCAAACUUUCGGCAUAGUCGUGAUCUGCCAUAUUGAUAGUGCCUGCUCCAUUAGUGUAACCAGCAGGAAAUAACGAUGAAUGAGAUACACCUGACUAAUGGCACUGUUAACUUCACAUUCAUUCAUGCUAUGUAAUGAGUAUGUGAACUUUGUCAUCAAUCGAUGACACUUAUUUCAACAAUUGUGGUGAGAUCUAGUGUCUCCUAGACUGAGACAUUUUUCUGCUGAGGGACAUCUCAAGGUACUGUACAAACAAUACAAGUGCUUGCCAGACACUCAGUGAAUCCGCUGGAGUUGUGAGUAGCCGUCCAGUUCAUAACUGUCAUCUAGCGCACCUUCUCAGUUGCCCGCAUACGGAAACUGACAGAAUUUACUGGAAGAGAUGUUUGGCAUGCAGUGUGAUUGCUGUUAAGGUUAUUUCAGACCGGU